ACAUGCAAGUCGAGCGGCAGCACGGGUACUUGUACCUGGUGGCGAGCGGCGGACGGGUGAGUAAUGCCUAGGAAUCUGCCUGGUAGUGGGGGAUAACGCUCGGAAACGGACGCUAAUACCGCAUACGUCCUACGGGAGAAAGCAGGGGACCUUCGGGCCUUGCGCUAUCAGAUGAGCCUAGGUCGGAUUAGCUAGUUGGUGAGGUAAUGGCUCACCAAGGCGACGAUCCGUAACGGUCUGAGAGGAUGAUCAGUCACACUGGAACUGAGACACGGUCCAGACUCCUACGGGAGGCAGCAGUGGGGAAUAUUGGACAAUGGGCGAAAGCCUGAUCCAGCCAUGCCGCGUGUGUGAAGAAGGUCUUCGGAUUGUAAAGCACUUUAAGUUGGGAGGAAGGGCAUUUACCUAAUACGUAAGUGUUUUGACGUUACCGACAGAAUAAGCACCGGCUAACUCUGUGCCAGCAGCCGCGGUAAUACAGAGGGUGCAGCGUUAAUCGGAAUUACUGGGCGUAAAGCGCGCGUAGGUGGUUCGUUAAGUUGGAUGUGAAAUCCCCGGGCUCAACCUGGGAACUGCAUUCAAAACUGUCGAGCUAGAGUAUGGUAGAGGGUGGUGGAAUAUCCUGUGUAGCGGUGAAAUGCGUAGAUUUAGGAAGGAACACCAGUGGCGAAGGCGACCACCUGGACUGAUACUGACACUGAAGUGCGAAAG
rnacentral:rRNA from 1 species